UGGACAAUGGGGGAAACCCUGAUCCAGCAAUGCCGCGUGAGUGAAGAAGGCCUUCGGGUUGUAAAGCUCUUUUGUCAGGGAMGAAACASCGGSUCUAACACAGUCCGGSAAUGACGGUACCUGAASAAUAAGCACCGGCUAACUACGUGCCAGYAGCCGCGGUAAUACGUASGGUGCGAGCGUUAAUCGGAAUUACUGGGCGUAAAGCGWGCGCAGGCGGUUAUACWAGACMGGCGUGAARUCCCCGGGCUUAACCUGGGAAUGGCSCCUGURACUGUAUAGCUAGAGUGUGUCAGAGGGGGGUAGAAUUCCACGUGUARCARUGAAAUGCGUAGAUAUGUGGAGGAAUACCAAUGGCKAASGCWGMCCCCUGGGAUAACACUGACGCUCAUGCACGAAAGCSUGGGGAGCAAACAGGAUUAGAUACCCUGGKAGUCCACGCCCUAAACGAUGCUGACUAGUUGUUCGGGAUUUACAUCCUGAGUAACGUAUCUAACGCSUGAAGUCAGCCGCCUGGGGAGUACGGUCCSAAGAUUAAAACUCAAAGGAA
rnacentral:rRNA from 1 species